GUAGUCUCGCACAGAUGCAUAUCAAUAAGCGGAGGAAAAGAAACUAACAAGGAUUCCCCUAGUAACGGCGAGCGAAGCGGGAAGAGCUCAAAUUUGAAAUCUUAAAGGGUUUCCCUUUACGAAUUGUAGUUUAAAGAAGUGUUUUCUGUUGAGGUUUUGGUAAAAGUUCUUUGGAAUAGGACAUCAUAGAGGGUGAGAAUCCCGUAUUUGACCUUUACUUUCAACUUUGUGAUACACUUUCAAAGAGUCGGAUUGUUUGGGAAUGCAGUCCAAAAUGGGUGGUAAAUUUCAUCUAAAGCUAAAUAUUGGCGAGAGACCGAUAGCGAACAAGUACCGUGAGGGAAAGAUGAAAAGAACUUUGAAAAGAGAGUUAAACAGUACGUGAAAUUGUCAAAAGGGAAGCGUUUGACACCAGUGUUGUUUUUCUGAAAAUCAAUUAAAGAACUGUUUAUGCUAAGCUGUUUAGACUUUAUCAGCUAAUCUGUUUAGUUUUGAGCUUUUCUUUAAUGCACUUUUCAGUUAACAAGUCAACAUCAAUUUCUUUUGCUGUAAAAAAGCUUGAGGAAGGUGGCUUGAGAUUCGUCUUAAGUGUUUAUAGCCUCUUGCCUAUGCAGUCGGAGAGAUUGAGGUCUGCAGCGUAGAUCCUUCGGGGCUAAAUGCAUUUGUGCUAAGUUAUAGCAUUUUAUAGACAACUUGUUGACUAUGAUUUGUCUUGUAGCUUACUCGCUUAUGUUAUUUUACCUACGCUUAGGAUGUUGAGUAGCGACAUACGCAC
rnacentral:rRNA from 1 species